rnacentral:rRNA from 1 species
GACGAACGCUGGCGGCGUGCUUAACACAUGCAAGUCGAACGGAAAGUCCUCUUUCGGGGGGUACUCGAGUGGCGAACGGGUGAGUAACACGUGAGUAACCUGCCUUUCACUUUGGGAUAACUUCAGGAAACUGUGGCUAAUACCGGAUAGAAGCUCUUGCGCCAUGGGGUGGGUUGGAAAUUUUCGGCGGUGUGGGAUGGACUCGCGGCUUAUCAGCUUGUUGGUGGGGGAGUGGCUUACCAAGGCUUUGACGGGUAGCCGGCCUGAGAGGGUGACCGGCCACAUUGGGACUGAGAUACGGCCCAGACGCCUACGGGAGGGAGAAGUGGGGAAUAUUGAAAAAUGGGUGGAAGCCUGAUGCAGCAACGCCGUGUGCGGGAUGACGGUCUUCGGGUUGUAGAUCGAAUUCGCUCAUGACGAAGCUUUGUGUGACGGUAGUGGGUAAAGAAGCACCGGCUAACUACGUG